GUGUGGCUGUAAAAAGGUGACUGAUGUAGGAGUUCAGGCUUUGGCAGGCAGCUGUUGCCAGCUUUAUCUUGAUCUGAGUUCUACAGCAACAAGCAAGAGAGGCCUUGUAACUGCAGACACCUUUGGUGGGUUCUGCACGUCACUUACUCAGAUGGAAUUAAAGACAGUUGAAACUGCAGUGCAGAACCUAGAAGAUCUCCACCUGACGUCUGCAGUAAUGUUACAGUGGAAGAUAAAGGAAUCAUUUGCCGUGCGUAGAUGAGAAAAAGGGUGUGCUUGUUGGCGAGCUUCUGCCGUGUCAAUCUGGAAUAUGUGAAGCUCAGUUUCUGCAGAGAUGUCAUUUUGGAUGCAAUUAAAAGACUCUAUUAACUGCAAGAGG